CCAUAGAACCAAGUGAAAGCUUCAUAGAUGCUCUAGUCUGGAUUGAUGUUUGCUUGUAUGGCUGGAGCCGUAGGAAGACCCAAUCUCCUAUUGAAAAUUCUCUUUCGCCUUUGUGUUGAUCAUAUUACUGUUUCAUCCUUGCUUGAGCUGUAGUGAGAUUAUCUUUUAGCAACUUCAGCAUUUUGUCUCUGUCCUAUAGUUCCCUGUCUACUUGUUCUACUUUAGAGGUGCCCAACACAUAUUUUGGGAUCACAAGGGGAGGUCGACCAUACAUAGCCUCAUAGGGAGUACAUUUUAUGGAUGAAUGAUAAGUUGUAUUA
rnacentral:lncRNA from 1 species